CGGGGCUAAUACCGGAUAACAUUUUGAACUGCAUGGUUCGAAAUUGAAAGGCGGCUUCGGCUGUCACUUAUGGAUGGACCCGCGUCGCAUUAGCUAGUUGGUGAGGUAACGGCUCACCAAGGCAACGAUGCGUAGCCGACCUGAGAGGGUGAUCGGCCACACUGGGACUGAGACACGGCCCAGACUCCUACGGGAGGCAGCAGUAGGGAAUCUUCCGCAAUGGACGAAAGUCUGACGGAGCAACGCCGCGUGAGUGAUGAAGGCUUUCGGGUCGUAAAACUCUGUUGUUAGGGAAGAACAAGUGCUAGUUGAAUAAGCUGGCACCUUGACGGUACCUAACCAGAAAGCCACGGCUAACUACGUG
rnacentral:rRNA from 1 species